UACAGAGGGGCGAAGCGUUGUUCGGAAUUACUGGGCGUAAAGGGCGCGUAGGCGGCCUUCUAAGUCGAACGUGAAAUCCCCGGGCUCAACCCGGGAACUGCGUCCGAUACUGGAAGGCUUGAAUCCGGGAGAGGGAUGCGGAAUUCCAGGUGUAGCGGUGAAAUGCGUAGAUAUCUGGAGGAACACCGGUGGCGAAGGCGGCAUCCUGGACCGGCAUUGACGCUGAGGCGCGAAAGCGUGGGGAGCGAACAGG
rnacentral:rRNA from 1 species